UAAUACUAAUUAUUAUAUAUCUACUUUUUUCACUAAUUCUUUUGAGGAUAAGCUCAAAGAGAAAGUUAAGAUAUUUAUGAUUAUAAGCCGCCGUGUGGGGCUUAAAAUUGGCCACCACAAAAGUUUGUUAUAAAAUAACGGUUUCAACUCAAAAAAUAAAUAUAUUUUAAUCUAACUUCUUACGGAAAUAAAAUCUUUAACUAAAGUAAGUUUUAUGCCUAUGCUAGGAUGAGUAUUAUAAACUAAUAUUAAACAUGAAAAUAUUUCUUCAGUAAAAAUUAUUCAAACAAACUAAUUAAUUAAAAGGAACUCGGCAAAAUUAGUUGCUUCGCCUGUUUAUCAAAAACAUGGCUCUCUGCUUAUGUAAAUAUAGAGAGUCGAGCCUGCCCAGUGAAUUUUCAACGGCCGCGGUACUCUGACCGUGCAAAGGUAGCAUAAUCAUUUGCCUUAUAAUUGAAGGCUAGUAUGAAUGGUUUGACGAGAGCAACGCUGUCUCUUUUUUAUUUUCAAGAACUUAACUUUUAGGUGAAGAGGCCUAAAUUUUAUUGAAGGACAAGAAGACCCUGUCGAGCUUAAAAGAUAUUAUAGAAGUGCAUA
rnacentral:rRNA from 1 species